UACGUAGGGUCCGAGCGUUGUCCGGAAUUAUUGGGCGUAAAGGGCUCGUAGGCGGUCUGUUGCGUCGGGAGUGAAAACUUACAGCUUAACUGUGAGCGUGCUUCCGAUACGGGCAGACUUGAGGCAUUCAGGGGAGAACGGAAUUCCUGGUGUAGCGGUGAAAUGCGUAGAUAUCGGAAGGAACAUCAGUGGCGAAAGCGGCUUCCUGGUCCAGCACCGACGUUCAGGCACGAAAGCGUGGGGAGCAAACAGG
rnacentral:rRNA from 1 species